AUGGGCGUCAUAGUCACGGACCACUGCAAUGGGCUCUUGCUUUGCCGCGGUCUGAGCCACGAGUGCGACAAUGCACUGCCGCGCGAUUAUGUCGUGAACCCGGCCACGCGUCGGUGGGCGCGUCUGCCCCAACGUCCUGGGUCAAACGUGUUGGGAUUGGAUCAAUGUGCCUACCUUGCGUUUGAACCGACCCUGUCGACACACUAUGAGGUAUUUUUGGUUCCAUGUGUGCUAGCUGCCGGUGAAUCGCACAGUGAUCAUGAUGAUGGGUUGCUUGAAUCGGAGUGGCCUCCGGAGUUAUACGCCAUCCAUGUGUUCUCAUCGGCGACUCAACAGUGGGACACGAGGAUCUUCAUUCGAGAAGGGGAGGCUGCAGGGCUCGUCCGCAACAUGCAUUCGGAUUUGUGGUAUAAUCUAUAUCAUUAUCAUGCCGUCUACUCGCGAAGCACGCUCUACAUUCAUUGCGAGCAUGGCUAUCUCAUGAGAAUGUGUUUGUCAGAUGACACGUACAGAGUAAUUAAACUACCAGAUGUCAGUGAACUUCCACUGAAAGGAUAUCCUGAACACCAUUUGGGUAGAUCACUGAGAGGGGUGUAUUGCGCAGUAUCUCAUAAGAGGAGUCCGCUUCUUCAGGUUUGGCAUCUCAAUGAAUCGUGCAGUCAAAUAGAUAGGGUGCUAAACCAUGAUACCACUCUUAAGACCUUUGAACAUGAGGACUAUGCUCAACAAAUGGGUAGACAAUGGAUCUUACAGGAUGUUAACUACCGUAAGUCGUUGCCUGAGCAUAAUGGUAAUACAUAUGAAAUUAACAGAGCGACAGUGGAAUAG
rnacentral:rRNA from 1 species